rnacentral:rRNA from 1 species
UACGUAGGUGGCGAGCGUUAUCCGGAAUUACUGGGUGUAAAGGGUGUGUAGGCGGGAGUGCAAGUCAGACGUGAAAACUAUGGGCUCAACCCAUAACGUGCGUUUGAAACUGUGCUUCUUGAGAGUGGGAGAGGUAAACGGAAUUCCUGGUGUAGUAGUGAAAUGCGUAGAUAUCAGGAGGAACACCGGUGGCGAAGGCGGUUUACUGGACCACAACUGACGCUGAGACACGAAAGCGUGGGGAGCAAACAGG